rnacentral:rRNA from 1 species
GUAGGUGGCAGGCGUUGUCCGGAAUUAUUGGGCGUAAAGCGCGCGCAGGCGGUUCUUUAAGUCUGAUGUGAAAGCCCACGGCUCAACCGUGGAGGGUCAUUGGAAACUGGAGAACUUGAGUACAGAAGAGGAAAGCGGAAUUCCACGUGUAGCGGUGAAAUGCGUAGAGAUGUGGAGGAACACCAGUGGCGAAGGCGGCUUUCUGGUCUGUAACUGACGCUGAGGCGCGAAAGCGUGGGGAGCAAACAGGGAUUAGAUACCCUGGUAGUCCACGCCGUAAACGAUGAGUGCUAAGUGUUAGGGGGUUUCCGCCCCCUUAGUGCUGCAGCUAACGCAUUAAGCACUCCGCCUGGGGAUACGGCCGCAAGGCUG